rnacentral:rRNA from 1 species
AGGACAAACGCUGGCGGGGUGCAUGAGACAUGCAAGUCGAACGAGGCACUGUUGAGCUUGCUCGACGGUGUCCUAGUGGCGGACGGCUGAGUAACGCGUAGGUGACCUACCCGGAAGUGGGGAAUAACUGCCCGAAAGGGUGGCUAAUACCGCAUGUGGUCGACGAUUCGAUUCGUCGUCCAAAGGAGCAAUUCGCUUCCGGAGGGGCCUGCGUCCGAUUAGCUAGUUGGUGGGGUAACGGCUUACCAAGGCGACGAUCGGUAGCUGGUCUGAGAGGAUGAUCAGCCAGACUGGGACUGAGACACGGCCCAGACUCCUACGGGAGGCAGCAGUCGGGAAUUUUGCCCAAUGAGCGAAAGCUUGAGGCAGCAACUCCGCGUGAGGGAUGAAGGCUCUAGGGUCGUAAACCUCUUUUCUCAGGGAAGAUACAAGACAGUACCUGAGGAAUAAGCGACGGCUAACUACGUGCCAGCAGCCGC